rnacentral:rRNA from 1 species
CAAUAGCGUAUAUUAAAGUUGUUGCAGUUAAAAAGCUCGUAGUUGGAUUUCUGGUUGAAGCGACCGGUCGGGCGUUGAUUCGUCUGCACUGGAGUCGGUUUUGGCCAUCCUCUAGGAAAGUGCGUCUGGUAUUAAGUUAUCGGGCGUAUGAUCCUGGUCUUUUACUGUGAAAAAAUUAGAGUGUUUAAAGCAGGCCUUCGCCUUGAAUACAUUAGCAUGGAAUAAUAAGAUAGGACUUUGGUCUAUUUUGUUGGUUUGCAGACCGAAGUAAUGAUUAAUAGGGAUAGUUGGGGGUAUUUAUACUCCGAUGUCAGAGGUGAAAUUCUUAGAUUUUCGGAAGAUAAACUUAUGCGAAAGCAUUUACCAAGGAUGUUUNCAUUA